CCCGAUAACUGCAAAUGAAAGACAAAUUCACCAGAUAAAUGAGCUGGAUAUUAUUUUAUUGUAAUUUAAACAAUCAUUUUUGAAGUUUGUAAGAUUAUAUAGAACCUGUAAUCAGAGCCAAGAGAUGUCACUGAAUAAUACAUGACAUGCUAUAAAUUAAGGAAAGAAUGAUUAUAUGUAAUAAAAAGAAUAAGAAAUUUCUUCUAGCAAGGAGGAUAGGAACCACAUUAUUACUGAGUAGAGAGCGAUAAAAAUCACCAUCUUAUGAAUAAAGCAAUGGAAAAAGGAAACGCUAUAGAGAGUGUGUAAACGAGCAAGGAAGGCUUGGCCAGGGCUUGGUAAGUCAAGCCAGGGUUUUAUAGCUCUUCUAUGGAGAACAGUGCACUGGUGCUUACAAAUAAUUCAUUCACCAGUGAUGCAUAAACUAUUGAUGAAUAUAUUUUGUUUUUCUAACAGUUUUGCUCACUACACCUUCUUGGCUGGUGAAAAUAGGCAUAAUGCAUGCAGAAAAAUGGAGCAUUACCCUCUUCUGUGCCAGCGCUCCUAACCUGGGACCCUGGCACAGUGCAUCAAAACUCCAUCACUAGAGAAGACCACCACACUGUGCCUCUGCUGGCAAAGCCACCUCUAGCAGCAGACUCAGGAUGAGAUAAAAGUGUAUUAGGUGGAAAUUCAGGACUCUGCUAUCUCCUAGAUCAAACAGUCAUACAGUAAAAUAAUUUGUCUAUGUUCAACCACUGAAUAAUCAAUCUAUCAGCUAUGACAACAUCAGGUGCUGUAAAAAUGCGAGCAAGACAGCCCAUGAGCAGUAACCCUCAGAAGUUCCUAACUUGUAAGGAGAAUUGCACCACUUUAUCAGUGGCUCCCUACUGAGCUUGCACCCCCAAAGAAAGCAGGAGAGACUCUAACUCAUACCCGCUAAGCCAGGUGUGGUAAUGGUUGAACAGAAGCUCACAAAGAGUUGAAGCACUUCUCACCCAGCUCAAAGGAAGAAGAUGAAAAACAUAAUGGCAUGCCAUUCUGGGUAUGGAGCAGCAGCCCAGCUGUGAUUCCUGCUCCUGAAUCUCACCUGCAGAAUGAAAAACUAGGUGGUGCUUUUAUUCCAGCCAGAAAUGCUAACAUGAAUGGCACAGUCUGAUUUGGCAGCACAGAGAGGUGCUUUCCACAAACAUGAAUGUCUGCCCAAAGCAGUGGAGAGACCAUACCAUGCCACCUCAUUUGCUGGGCUUGGGAGCAUGUACUUGAUAACAGGCAGAAAUAAGUUCACACCAAAGACAAAUAAACCAUGGAGCUCCCAGAACAGAUGUAAAGAUAAAGGUGUGCUUUCAAAUUCAGAAAUAGCAAGCUGCAGGAAUCACCCUCACAUCAAUUUAAUUAUCCUCUUCUAUCCGUGCACUCUUAUGGCCCUCCCAUCCCAUAAUAAGUCAACCAUUCCCAAGUAUUUUAGCAUAGAAACAACACUCCUUCAAUUGCUUUCUUUCUUCUCAGCCAACAGGAGAAAAAGCCAGAUUAGUUUGCCACUUGGGAUGGAAGGAAGAGGCAAAAAGGCUGCAGUGCUCACUGGGGAAAAGCUAAGUCAGCAGCCUGAGCCUGGCACUGAGCUGUGCUCCCUGGGUGGAGAAACAAGUUCUCCAAAUCCUAGAAUACACGCUGCAAUAAGGAGAAUGAGGGACAGGUGGCUUUUUUUGUUUGCCUUUUUUUUUUUUUUUUGGAAGUGCUGUCUUCAGAAAAAAAGGAAAAUGCCCUAUUAAUCAGGAAAAAAAAUGAUAUUACCACACCUAAUUAGCAUGCAGCAUUGAUUUGUAAAUGAAACGAUAUGUGGGCUUGCGCAUCAUAUCUUGUGUCAUUUUGUGUAUAAUACUUACAUCUUCAAAACUUUCUUUAUAAAAUAGCAGUUCCCUCAACUUCUACUGCUAUCUUCCCCAGUGGAUGCAUAUUCACUUUUCCUUCCUUCUUACCUGUUUACAAUGUACUUUGUCCAACAGGCUAUCUCCGAAGUGCUGCUGAAGUAUUCUGUCAAUGGGAAAAUUGCCUUUUACAGCCUCACCUUGCUUUAUGCAUUCAUCAAGCCUCCAUUCUUGCUGUGCCUCCCAUUGGCACCUGCAUGGUUGAGCCUGCUGCUCUCGGGUCCUCUGGUGUGAAUCUUGAAGCAGCCACUGAAAAAUCCUCCCUGGUUGCACAGAGGGAAGGCAAGUUGGGAGAGCUGGAGUGUUGUGAGAAAUAUGAUGAGGUUCCACAAGGGCAAGUGUAGAGUAUUACACGUAGGGAGAAACAGCCAUAAGGCAUUGGUACAAGUCAGGGGCUGACUUGCCAGAAAGUAGCCCUGCAGAGAAGGACCUGGGUGUCCCAGUGGGCAACAGGUUUGCCAUGAGACAGCAGUGUGCCCUUGUGGCCAAGAAAGCCGAUAGUAUCCUGGGGUGCAUUAAAAAGAGUGUGGCCAGCAGGUCGAGGGAGGUGGUCCUCUCCCUCUACUCUGCUCUGGUGAGGUCACAUCUGAGAUGCUGUGUCCAGUUCUGGGCUCCUCAGUUCAAGAAAGACAGGGAACUUCUGGAGAGAGCACAGCAGAGGACCACAGAGAUGAUGAGGGGCCUGGAACAUCCCCUGUAAGGAAAGACUGAGAGACCUGGAACUGUUCAGCCUGGAGAAGAGAAGGCUGAGAGGGGAUCUCAUCAAUGCUUAUGAAUACCUAAGAGGCACGAGUCAAAUGGAUGGGGCCAGGCUCUUUUCAGUCAUGCCCAGCAACAGGACAAUGGACAGCGGGCACAAACAACAAAGGAAAUGCCAUACAAACAUGAGGAAGAACUUCUUUACUGUGAGGGUGACAGAGCACUGAACAGGCUGCCCAGAGAGGUGGUAGAGUCUCCUUCUCCACAGACAGUCUAACCACGCCAGGACACUUCCUUGUGCAACCUAUUGUAGGGAACCUGCUUUAGUAGGGGUUUGGACUAGGUGAUUUCCAGAGGUCCCUUCCAGCCCCUACCAUUCUGUGAUUUUGUGAUUCUGUAAAGGGUAGUUUCCAGUGGAUAAAACUUCAAACAGUUUGCAGGAUAGUCUACAUAGGAUUUUUGUAAUGACCAAAAAUAACCAUCUUCAUUAGGAAAUUUGAUUAUAUGAAGGUGAUUUCCUACAUCCAAGAAGAAAUUUCUGGCAAAAAAAAAAAAAAACCUUUUUUGCCUACUUCAGGUGUGGACUGCAACCUUAAGCCCUGCAGUCACAGAAACAGGAGCUCAGACAUGUACCUUGCAAACUCUGUUCCUCUCUGAGGUGACUGAAACUUUCAUUUAAAAGAGAAGAAGAAAAUUUGGAAAUUGUCUUUUCUGAGUAGCCUUAUUUACAGGUUUUUUUUUUCUCUCAAUUAAUUUAUUUAACUUUGAAAGACUCAGUAUCAUAUAUAUCAUAUACCUAAGAGACCCAUGAGCCACUCCUCGAAAUUGCACAUCUUUUUAAAUAGCCAUGAUUUUGAUAACCCUCUCCUGGUUUUCCUCAGUUUCUACUUGCUAAAUAUUUUGGAUCAUUUUUUGUCCAUAAAACCAAGUAAAUUGAACCAGCUACAAAACGAUUUUAACAGGUAAAUUAACCUUCUAAAUACUGUUCUGCACUUAGAUGGUCUCUUUCAGCAGGCAUUUCAAAAUACUCAACAUGAGUGUAUUGAACGAUUGAUAAAUUAAGCCUAAUAAUACCCCUGGGAGGUAGUACAGUUAGAUAAACAGAAACACAGAGAGGUUAAUUGUCCAGGGUCACUUAGCAAGUGGUUUGCAGAACCAGGGCAAGCACCUAAGGAGUCCUAACUGCACUUCCUGCAAUUUGCUCUCUGAAAUAUGUCAAGCCUGAUUUGCAAUUGUCUUCAUCUUUGAGUAAUUAUUUACUGCGGUGCAAGGCAAGUGUAAAAUGGGAGUGAAAUUGGUGCCAAAUCAAAAUAGCACAGGUAUGAAAGGAUGAACAAGGGAAAAAGCAAUGCAGAAUCCCUAUAUUUCUUGUCCAUCAUGACCAACUUGUCCCUGGUUCAUUAACUCUCUUGUUUACCUACCAACUUAAAUGAUAAAUUGAAUAGUGCUUUGUUGACAAAAGGGUUGGUUAGUUAUCGUUUUGUUGAUGGAUGGCUCUGCAGUGAAUGAAAUCAUUAUAGGUGUACUCUAUGUGUCACACUACCUUUUUCCUCUGCUUUUUUUCAGCAACAAUAGGUAGGUAGAGCUAGAAAUCCAAUUUUUUAAUCAUAUCUGGUGACUGAAUUCUGAGUCCUAUAUUUAAAAGAAUUUUCAUAGCUCUAAUCUUCUCUCUCCCAAGGAUGAAAUCAAAACAAAAAGGACAAACUCCUCCCUUAUUUCUUUUUUUAUAAAGGAGCCAGACAGCAAAAGAAUGCAGGCAUUUUCAAAAAUCACAAAGACAGCAAAGAUACUGCAAGUCACUUUUAAAUUAACAGCAGCACUAGCUCAGUCCAGAGGACACAUUAUUAAGAACAUCUAGUUAUAUAAACAUAAGUGGUAAGACACCAAGCUUAAGGUUUUUACAAUACCUCGACUGAAGAGACACUGUCCACAACACUGUCCAGCCAAAGAGGUUGCAGCAUUUAGCAGAGCUGACUCUUUCACUCCCGUGGGCUGACAAACACACUGCUGUUCUCCUAGCAGAUAUGGGAGCUGAGUCGCAGAAAACAGUCACUCAUGGGAGGACUUAGAAGAACCCAAAGUCAUCCAAGUGUUAGCUGUGCAACUCAGAAAGCAGCACUUCCUCCAUGCUGCAGCUGCCCAGCUCAAACUCCUCAGCUGCACCUUCAGCACCAUGUGUUUGCCACCUCUGUGACAUGGGCCUCUUCUGCACCAAUUUAAACAUCCUUAGUUUUUCUCUGUAAAGGAAGCUCAACUACAAUUUUGAAAAGGUUCUUGACCAACAGUUAACGUGCUCACUCAGAAGUCACCUCCAGCAGGUGAAGAAAAGGCUCCAGGGAGACCUCAUUGUGAUCUUCCAGUACUUGAAAGGAGUUCACAAGCAGCAAGGGGACCAACUUUUCACAUGUAGGUAGAAUGUUGACAAGGGGUAAUGGGUUUAAACUAAAAGAGAGAAAAUUUAGGUUAGAUGUUAGGAAGAAAUUCUUUACUUGGAGGGCAGUGAGGCUCUGCCACAGCUGCCCAGAGAAGCUGUGGUGCCCCAUCCCUGGAGGCAUUCAAGGCCAGGUUGGAUGGGGCCCUGGGCAGUCUGAUCUAAUGGUUGGCAACCAUGCUCACAGCAGGGG
ensembl:lncRNA